GGCGGCGUGCUUAACACAUGCAAGUCGAGCGGAAAGGCCCUUCGGGGGUACUCGAGCGGCGAACGGGUGAGUAACACGUGAGUAACCUGCCCCUGACUCUGGGAUAAGCCUGGGAAACUGGGUCUAAUACCGGACAUGACCUCCUUCCGCAUGGUGGGGGGUGGAAAGUUUUUCGGCUGGGGAUGGGCUCGCGGCCUAUCAGCUUGUUGGUGGGGUGAUGGCCUACCAAGGCGACGACGGGUAGCCGGCCUGAGAGGGCGACCGGCCACACUGGGACUGAGACACGGCCCAGACUCCUACGGGAGGCAGCAGUGGGGAAUAUUGCGCAAUGGGCGGAAGCCUGACGCAGCGACGCCGCGUGGGGGAUGAAGGCCUUCGGGUUGUAAACCUCUUUCACCACCGACGAAGCUAACGUGACGGUAGGUGGGGAAGAAGCGCCGGCUAACUACGUGCCAGCAGCCGCGGUAAUACGUAGGGCGCAAGCGUUGUCCGGAAUUAUUGGGCGUAAAGAGCUCGUAGGCGGUCUGUUGCGUCUGCCGUGAAAACCCGAGGCUUAACCUCGGGCCUGCGGUGGAUACGGGCAGACUAGAGGUAGGUAGGGGAGAAUGGAAUUCCCGGUGUAGCGGUGAAAUGCGCAGAUAUCGGUAGGAACACCGGUGGCGAAGGCGGUUCUCUGGGCCUUACCUGACGCUGAGGAGCGAAAGCGUGGGGAGCGAACAGGAUUAGAUACCCUGGUAGUCCACGCCGUAAACGUUGGGCGCUAGGUGUGGGGUUCUUCCACGGAUUCCGCGCCGUAGCUAACGCAUUAAGCGCCCCGCCUGGGGAGUACGGCCGC
rnacentral:rRNA from 1 species